AACGCUUUGGCGGAACAGGCAGACGCACAGGACUUAAAAUCCUGCGGUACGUGAGUACCGUACGGGUUCGACCCCCGUCCUCGGCA
rnacentral:tRNA from 1 species